rnacentral:rRNA from 1 species
AUUGAACGCUGGCGGCAGGCUUAACACAUGCAAGUCGAGCGGGGUGAUGGUGGUUGCACUAUCACUUAGCGGCGGACGGGUGAGUAAUGCUUAGGAAUCUGCCUAUUAGUGGGGGACAACAUCUCGAAAGGGAUGCUAAUACCGCAUACGUCCUACGGGAGAAAGCAGGGGAUCACUUGUGACCUUGCGCUAAUAGAUGAGCCUAAGUCGGAUUAGCUAGUUGGUGGGGUAAAGGCCUACCAAGGCGACGAUCUGUAGCGGGUCUGAGAGGAUGAUCCGCCAGACUGGGACUGAGACACGGCCCAGACUCCUACGGGAGGCAGCAGUGGGGAAUAUUGGACAAUGGGGGGAACCCUGAUCCGGCCAUGCCGCGUGUGUGAAGAAGGCCUUAUGGUUGUAAAGCACUUUAAGCGAGGAGGAGGCUCUUUUGGUUAAUACCCAAGAUGAGUGGACGUUACUCGCAGAAUAAGCACCGGCUAACUCUGUGCCAGCAGCCGCCGUAA